AACGAACGCUGGCGGCAGGCUUAACACAUGCAAGUCGAACGGUAGCACAGAGAGCUUGCUCUCGGGUGACGAGUGGCGGACGGGUGAGUAAUGUCUGGGAAACUGCCCGAUGGAGGGGGAUAACUACUGGAAACGGUAGCUAAUACCGCAUAACGUCGCAAGACCAAAGUGGGGGACCUUCGGGCCUCACACCAUCGGAUGUGCCCAGAUGGGAUUAGCUAGUAGGUGGGGUAAUGGCUCACCUAGGCGACGAUCCCUAGCUGGUCUGAGAGGAUGACCAGCCACACUGGAACUGAGACACGGUCCAGACGCCUACGGGAGGCAGCAGUGGGGAAUAUUGCACAAUAGGCGCAAGCCUGAUGCAGCCAUGCCGCGUGUAUGAAGAAGGCCUUCGGGUUGUAAGGUACUCUCAGCGGGGAGGAAGGCGGUGAAGUUAAUAACUUCGAGUUUGACAUUACCUUUAGAAGAAGCACCGGCUAACUCCGUGCCAGCAGCCGCCGUAA
rnacentral:rRNA from 1 species